rnacentral:rRNA from 1 species
GGCUUUGCUGACAUUGUUGGGAGAAGAUUCGGCUCACUGAAGCUGCCAUUCAACAACAAGAAGAGCUGGGUCAGGAGUGCCGCGAUGUUCAUCUCUGGGUUCCUGCUAUCCACUCUGAUGUUGUUAUACUGCCCAUGGCUUGGUUACAUCAAUGUCAGCUGGGAUCAGGCGUUUGUGCCCGUUGGUAAACUGGCUCUUGUUACACUGGCAGCAACUGCGGUGGAGUGUAUUCCUGUAACUGAUGUUCUAGAUGACAGUAUAUAUGUUCCUUUGGCCACCAUGUUGGUAGCAUUUCUGUUGUUUGGCCACACUGCA